rnacentral:tRNA from 1 species
GGAGAAUUACCCAAGUGGCUGAAGGGGACAGUUUGCUAAACUGUUAGGGUUCGCAAGGGCCGCGAGGGUUCAAAUCCCUCAUUCUCCGCCA